UACGGGGGGGGUAAGCGUUGUUCGGAAUUACUGGGCGUAAAGGCUCGUAGGCGGCCAACUAAGUCGGACGUGAAAUCCCUCAGCUUAACUGGGGAACUGCGUCCGAUACUGGAUGGCUUGGAUUUGGGAGAGGGAUGCGGAAUUCCAGGUGUAGCGGUGAAAUGCGUAGAUAUCUGGAGGAACACCGGUGGCGAAGGCGACGAUCCUGGACCGGCAUUC
rnacentral:rRNA from 1 species